UACGUAGGGCGCAAGCGUUAUCCGGAAUUAUUGGGCGUAAAGAGCUCGUAGGCGGUUUGUUGCGUCGGCUGUGAAAUCCCGAGGCUCAACCUCGGGUCUGCAGUCGAUACGAGCAAACUAGAGUGUUGCAGGGGAGACUGGGAUUCCUGGUGUAGCGGUGAAAUGCGCAGAUAUCAGGAGGAACACCGGUGGCGAAGGCGGGUCUCUGGGCAACAACUGACGCUGAGGAGCGAAAGCGUGGGGAGCGAACAGG
rnacentral:rRNA from 1 species